CAGAGAAUGCAUCCAUGCUAUCUACUUGGACUCCAUCUUCCAUCCUUGACUGUUAACUAGGUUGCUCGAAUCAAACUAGCUAGCCCUAUAAAAUUCUUCACUCAGGUGUAGUACUGCGGUAGUGCAGCACGAGAUCGAUUAUGGAGUUGGGUAGUAGUGCUACCAUGUCUCGAGAGCUGGUCGUCCUAGCGUUCACGUACGUGCUUGUCCACUAUCUCACAGGGGUCAUUCUCCGGAGCAAACGGGCGUCGCUGCCUUUGCCACCCGGCCCGCGAGGCUACCCGGUGGUUGGGGCGCUGCCCCUGCUGGGCCGGGCGCCGCACCGAGCACUCGCAGCCCUGGCUAGGCUGCACGGCCCCAUCAUGCACCUGACCCUUGGAAGGCAAGGCCUCGUGGUCGCUUCCACGCCGGAGUCGGCGCGCCUCCUGCUCAAGGACCACGGCGGCAGCUUCCUCGACCGCCCGGUGGACGACGCCGGGCCCAUGGUGCUGGCGUACGGCGCCCAGGACCUUGUUUUCGCGCCCUAUGGCCCCAAGUGGCGCCGCCUGCGCCGGGAGUGCAGCGCGGGCCUCCUUGGCCCCAAGGCGCUCGCCGACUGGGCCGACACGCGUCACGAGGAGGUCGGCCGUAUGGUCCGUGCGAUGAGCCGGCGGGGCGAGGCGUUGGAGGUGCCGGAGUUCCUGUUCGCCGCAAUGGCAAACAUGAUUGGGCAGGCGGUGGUGGGUCGGCGAGUGCUCGACGAGGCUGGCGGCGAGGCCACGAGGGAGUUCAAGGAGAUGGUGGUGGAGCUGAUGACCACGGCGGGGCUGGUGAACAUCGGCGACUUUGUGCCGGCGGUAGCGUGGAUGGACCUGCAGGGGCUCGGCCGGAGGAUGCGGCGGCUAACGACGAGGCUGGACAGGGCCUGGAGCCGGUUGCUGUCCGAUCACGAGGUGGCCAUGGCUAACAGGAAGCAAGACGGGAGCCGCCGUACAGACCUAGUUGACCGGCUGAUCGCAUGUCGUGACCAUGCCGAGGACGUGGGGGACGGCGUCACAGACCUCAACAUCAAAGCUGUACUUAACAACCUGUUCACGGCGGGGACGGACACUUCGUCGAGCACAAUCGAGUGGGCGCUGACCGAAAUGCUGGUGAACUCGGCGAUACUACAACAGGCGCAGGCGGAGAUGGACGAGGUGGUAGGCCGAGAUCGGCUACUCCAGGAAUCCGACAUCCGGCACCUCCCCUACCUCCGUGCCAUCUGCAAGGAGACCUUCCGCAAGCACCCCUCCACACCACUCAACCUCCCCCGUAUCUCCACCGAGCCAUGUAAAGUGCAGGGGUACCAUAUCCCCAAGGGCACGAGGUUGGUCGUGAACAUAUGGGCGAUCGGGCGGGACCCGGCGGUGUGGCCCGAGCCGGAGAGGUUCGACCCUGGGAGGUUCAUGACCGAGGAGGGGAGGAAGGUGGAGCCCAUGGGGAGUCACUUCCAACUGAUCCCGUUUGGCGCGGGCCGAAGGAUGUGCGCGGGGGCGCGCAUGGGAGUGGCAUUGAACAUAUAAACAACGCUACACUACCCGCCCAUAGGAAGCACUUGCGAUCGUUAAGUCAGUUGGUCCGUUGGAUUUCACUGCGACAGGACUUUUUACAGUGCUGUCAGAGUCUUAGCCAUUGGUUAUUCGUGACUCCUUUGUUUCAAUUAUUUGCAUGACGGGUGGGCCUCAAAUUUCCCCAGGCCCAGCAUCCUCAUGCGUCCUGUGCGCGUCCUGGGUGAGAAAAGGAAGGCGUGGGGCUGGAUCGUGGUGCACGGUGAAAACCUAGCCACCAAUCCCUCGCAUCCCCGAACAACCAAUCCCUCCGCUCCCCUCGAGCCCCGCUCCCCUCCUCUCCUGCCCUCCCCUGCGUUGCCGCCUCCUCCCCUUCUCCCCUGCUCUCCACUACGCCGCCUCCUCCGCCCUUUCACUUUUCUCUCCCGCGGCGGCGACGAUCUGCAGGCAAAAGGCGACGCCGACGGUGCUCGAUUCGAUCUGCAGGAGAGAGAGAGAAGAUAAGAGGGAGAGAGAGAGAAGGAAGGAGAGGAGGGAGAACUCCGUUGCCGCCACGUGCCGUGCUUCUGGAUCGAGCGCUGCCUGACCAAGGGAUAAGAGUAUGAGGUAAAACUAGCCACCAUGCUCCUGUGCGGGCUGCAUCCCCACAUCUCUCGUUUCAUUAUUUCACCAUCGCUGCCUCUUCUCCUCUUCGUUGCUCUGCUUCUUCCCCUGAUUCCUCUUUUUCAUGUUUUCUCUUUGUGGCGCCGCCGGGGAUGAGAGGAGCAGCUGCUGAAGCAGGUGCGGCGCCGGUGCACUGCUGGCGAAGCGGUCGUCGACGGUGCCGUCGACGUCGUCCUUGGCAGAAGAAUUUCAUUCUCAGCUUCAUCGGCGUCAGCUUCAUCACCAAGAGGACGGACUCCGGAAGGCAGCCCCCUCCUAAGGCGCCAGGGCCGUUGCUGACCAUAUGAUUGGUAGCCUUGGACAGAAGAGGGCCAGCAACAAACAGAAGCAACCACUGUCCUGUCCAGAACAUGGAUCAGCUUUGGUGGCAUCCGAUGCUGCCAGGCCACGGGGUUAGAGCAGAGGAGGCUGACAUGGUGUUCGACAUUCAGAUGGUCAUUGUGAUCGACCAGAUGCGGCGCCUCAUGUCACCCCGAGCCUCCAGGACUUGUUAGCGGUGCUCAUGAAGUAAGCUCAUAGAGUAAGGAUAUGCUUGCAAGUGCUCAUUUCCCAUAUGCUUGCCCACUCCUGUCUCGCAUCAAGCUUUCAUUUAUUUCCCUAAAAUUCCUCUAAUUUUGUUGUGUGCAUGUCUGAGAAAGAAAUAAGAGGAAUAAGCUAUGGUACGUCUUGGCGAAGUACAUUAUUUCCCUGGCUUGUGAAGUUAAUGCGCCCAAAUUCGCGUACAGUCUGGUUUCGGACUAACAAUGGCUCCUUGUGUUAUAUUGCAACUAGAAAAAGAGAUGGGCAUAAUAAAGAAGCUUGGUGAACAAAUAUAUAUCUGAACCCUCUACACAGUAUAGAUGCUAUAAUUUUUGUUAAAUGGAAGUUAGAUUCAGAUUCUUAAAAAUAUUAUCAUUCAGUCCUAUACAUACAAAGUACCUGCAACCCGCAUCUCUAAACAACGCGAACCUAUCCACAAUCAUAAACUUGUGUAUUGAUCCUCCAUUCAGAUUUCUUAUUAGCUCAUUCUGGCCUGUGUGAAAUUUUUGUGUUUGCUUUACAAUGGCCCAAUGCAUUUCGGUCGAUAUAUAUGUGAUGCCAUUGGUUGGCCUGGAUCGGAUAGCUAGGUUUGAUCGAUUCGGUUAAUAUAUGUUUAUGUUUCUGUUUAGGUUUCAGCACCUUUUGAUGCGUGUGCGUGCUGCCAUUGAUUGACUUCAUCUGUUUUGCUGGCUAUUCUAUGUGCAUUUACAUGUAUAGGAUAGUCAUUUUGAUUCAGUUAAGAUAUGUUCAGAUUUCUGUUUAGAUUUCGGCACCUUUUAAAUGUGCUACCAUGGGGUAACCUGAGUCUAUUUUAAUGGCAACGGGACCUGCAAGUGCAUGGCCCACUGCUAAUAGUCCUAGAAGCGAUCGAAAUUGUUGCUAUUUUGACUUUGUCUGCUACAUGGACUGCUAUUCUGAUCUCUAUGUUUUCCCAUUGCUUCAUUCAGUAUGUCCACGUAAAACCAGAAAUUACAUGCAUUUGAAUGAUGAUAGCUUAGCACUCGAUGAUAAAUGUGAUGUUGUUUUAUGUUAAUGUGAAACCCGAUCUAUCGGUUGUUAGUUUGAAUCAGUACCCAAGCCAUCCUCCUCACUGCCCUCCUCUUAGUUAUUUAGGUAGUUCUUCCUUCUUGGGUAACAAUGAGAAAACGAUUAGGUUGGUUACACAGUAUACUUCAUGAUUGCGGUAGGCACAAAAUGCUUGGCAGACUAAAAUAACUAUGCCUCAUUUCUAUUAUCAAGCUCUAAGUGUAUAUUGAGAUGCCUUUGUACAAUGGAAGAUCCAUGGGGUUGUUUGUUUGCUUGUAGAUUUUCGUGCAGAUAUUUGAAUUGUGCAAAUUUUUAAUUUGAGUUAUAAUUUGUUGUCUCUCGAUGUCGCUAAUUUUGUAUGAGCUGGAGGUGACCAUUAUCAUGUUCUUUCUAUUUUUUAUAGACAAUGUUUUAUUUCUAAUAUUUAGUUUCAUUCCAAGAUUAAUGAUGCUUUCACUCUGUUUUCAAAUUGACAAUUUCCGCCGACCCUUGUUGCACUCAAUGAUGGUUGAUGCCAACGUCGUCCAUUAGCAUUUAUUAUGUUGAAAAUUGCUUCACUCGGUCAUCUCUGCUUUUGACGCCACAAAAACAUGUGACAACUAAUUUAUGCUUGAUUAUUUGCUCAUUUUUAUUCCUUAUACAUUUAGCUCUUGUCCUUGAUUAGUUCAUUUGCAAGGAGAGUGUUUGUGUUCAACAUAAUAUUCCAUUUCCAGGUUUGCACUAAAACUAACUGCAAUAGAAGAAAGUGCAUGAAGAAUGAACAAGGAAAAGCUACAGAUUGAUAUGUAUAGGUAGAAGACUCGGGCAAUGGGCAGGUAGAAGACUCGGGCAACGGUUAAUUGACAAGCACUAUAUACACAAUGCAUCUCUGCUAAUAUAGCUUACUUUAUAAAGCCAUCAAUGUAUGCUAUUAUCAAGUGAUUUGAAUAUUUUAUUUUAAGCUAUCAUGUAAUGGAAUAUAAGUAUCCAUUAACUUGGUUCUAAACCAGUCUAAUAUGCAUGGUUUGAAUGCUCGGCUUGCUCUCC